rnacentral:rRNA from 1 species
CCUACGGGGAGCUGCAGUAGGGAAUAUUGCUCAAUGGGGGAAACCCUGAAGCAGCAAUGCCGCGUGGAGGAUGAAGGUUUUCGGAUUGUAAACUCCUUUUGUUAGAGAAGAUAAUGACGGUAUCUAACGAAUAAGCACCGGCUAACUCCGUGCCAGCAGCCGCGGUAAUACGGAGGGUGCAAGCGUUACUCGGAAUCACUGGGCGGAAAGAGCGCGUAGGCGGGAGAGCAGGUCAGAUGUGAAAUCCUAUGGCUUAACCAUAGAACUGCAUUUGAAACUGUUAUUCUAGAGUAUGGGAGAGGUAGGUGGAAUUCUUGGUGUAGGGGUAAAAUCCGUAGAGAUCAAGAGGAAUACUCAUUGCGAAGGCGACCUGCUAGAACAUAACUGACGCUGAUGCGCGAAAGCGUGGGGAGCAAACAGGAUUAGAUACCCGUGUAGUC